rnacentral:rRNA from 1 species
AUAUUGCACAAUGGGCGAAAGCCUGAUGCAGCAACGCCGCGUGAGUGAUGAAGGCCUUCGGGUUGUAAAGCUCUGUCUUCUGGGACGAUAAUGACGGUACCAGAGGAGGAAGCCACGGCUAACUACGUGCCAGCAGCCGCGGUAAUACGUAGGUGGCAAGCGUUGUCCGGAUUUACUGGGCGUAAAGGAUGCGUAGGCGGAUACUUAAGUCAGAUGUGAAAAUCCCGGGCUUAACUUGGGAACUGCAUUUGAAACUGGGUAUCUAGAGUGCGGGAGAGGAUAGUGGAAUUCCUAGUGUAGCGGUGAAAUGCGUAGAGAUUAGGAAGAACACCAGUGGCGAAGGCGACUUUCUGGACCGUAACUGACGCUGAGGCAUGAAAGCGUGGGGAGCAAACA